rnacentral:lncRNA from 1 species
UUUAAAGAUGUUUUUUUUUUAUAUCUAUUUAACGGCACUUAAAAGCGUCUCAAUUUUGUCUAGCGUCACAUUUGAAAACGUUGAUAAAUGAAGAAUCGCCACAUAUAUACCGACGCUUACGCCAAGUGUCAGUAAAAUAUAUUCUGACGCUUUAAAACAUCAGGAUUUUUUGAGAUCCUGACGCUUUAAAGGGCCGAAAAAUUAAAAAAAAUAGUACAGUUAUUAUGUAAUAAAUUGGUUUGAUACAAUAAAGGACUUAUAUAACAACACUUUUUGAACCAUCGAUAUUUGCUAUAUUAUAGGGAUAUAUGCUUGAGGACGCUUCCCCAAGAUCGUCUAAACAACGUUCUU